rnacentral:tRNA from 1 species
GACAGCUUGGCCGAGUGGUUAAGGCGAUAGACUAGGAAUCUAUUGGGGUAACCCGUGUGAGUUCAAAUAUCACAGCUGUCG